CCUACGGGGGGCAGCAGUGAGGAAUAUUGGUCAAUGGGCGGGAGCCUGAACCAGCCAAGUCGCGUGAGGGAAGACGGUCCUACGGAUUGUAAACCUCUUUUGCCGGGGAGCAACGGGGUCCUUGCGAGGGCCCGAUGAGAGUACCCGGAGAAAAAGCAUCGGCUAACUCCGUGCCAGCAGCCGCGGUAAUACGGAGGAUGCGAGCGUUAUCCGGAUUUAUUGGGUUUAAAGGGUGCGUAGGCGGGAUGCCAAGUCAGCGGUAAAAAUGCGGUGCUCAACGCCGUCGAGCCGUUGAAACUGGCGUUCUUGAGUGGGCGAGAAGUAUGCGGAAUGCGUGGUGUAGCGGUGAAAUGCAUAGAUAUCACGCAGAACUCCGAUUGCGAAGGCAGCAUACCGGCGCCCUACUGACGCUGAGGCACGAAAGCGUGGGUAUCGAACAGGAUUAGAUACCCCAGUAGUC
rnacentral:rRNA from 1 species